rnacentral:lncRNA from 1 species
CUGGCAUAUAACGAAGGACAAGGUGAAUCCGAUAGGGCAUCGAAGCAACCGAGAGCGGCUUGUCGACAGAAAGGUUGGGUAAGAUAUAUUAAGUGACCAACUUCACUAUAAGUGGGAUAUCUUCAGUAUUCAUUCUAUUGUCGUCCACAUGCCCAAUCAAUCAAGUCAUAUACCUUUCGAUUAUAUUUAUGUUUUUUAUUAUCAAUAACAUAUUCGUUGUUUGUGCCAACUUGCAGGAACUAUCGUGUGUUGUUCUCUCGAAAUUAUGCCUACGGACGAUUUGGCUGGCUUGUUUGUGCAGUUGACAGACAAACACUACACUAACUUUCUAUUAAAAAGAUACUAGAGCUAGCCAUGACAAGAAUAAAACAACUCCUAGUGUAGUCGAUUAAAGACUUAACAGUUGAUAUUGAUAUUUGAGGUCCCAAAUUUGAAUCUAAUUACUUUACAUUUUUCGUUGAAUUUAUUUUCAAAAUAUGACUG